AAGUCAACUCUUUUGGGAGAAUCC
rnacentral:siRNA from 1 species